CCCUGGUUAGCUCAGUUGGUAGAGCGCUCCACUGGAAAUGGAAAGGUCCCGGGUUCGAUACCCGGACCAGACGGA
rnacentral:tRNA from 1 species